rnacentral:rRNA from 1 species
CUCCGGUUGAUCCCGCCGGACCCGACUGCUAUCAGAGUGGGACUAAGCCAUGCGAGUCAACAUAGCAAUAUGUGGCAUACGGCUCAGUAACACGUAGUCAACAUGCCCAGGGGACGUGGAUAACCUCGGGAAACUGAGGAUAAACCGCGAUAAGUCACUACUUCUGGAAUGGGUAAUGACUCAAAUCUACAUGGCCCCUGGAUUGGACUGCGGCCGAUCAGGCUGUUGGUGAGGUAAUGGCCCACCAAACCUGUAACCGGUACGGGCUCUGAGAGGAGAAGCCCGGAGAUGGGUACUGAGACACGGACCCAGGCCCUAUGGGGCGCAGCAGGCGAGAAACCUUAGCAAUGUGCGAAAGCACGACUAGGUUAAUCCGAGUGAUUUCUGUUGAAGAAAUCUUUUGUCAGUCGUAAAACCACAGACGAAUAAGGGGUGGGCAAGUCUGGUGUCAGCCGCCGCGGUAAUACCAGCACCUCGAGUGGUCAGGAGGUUUAUUGGGCCUAAAGCAUCCGUAGCCGGUCCUGCAAGUCUUCCGUUAAAUCCAGCUGCUCAACAGAUGGGCUGCGGGAGAUACUACAGGGCUAGGAGGCGGGAGAGGCAAGCGGUACUUUAUGGGUAGGGGUAAAAUCCGCUGAUCCAUAGAAGACCACCAGUGGCGAAGGCGGCUUGCCAGAACGCGCUCGACGGUGAGGGAUGAAAGCUGGGGGAGCAAACCGGAUUAGAUACCCGGGUAGUCCCAGCUGUAAACGAUGCAGACUCGGUGAUGGGUUGGCCUCGCGCCUGCCCAGUGCCGCAGGGAAGCCGUUAAGUCUGCCGCCUGGGGAGUACGGUCGCAAGACUGAAACUUAAAGGAAUUGGCGGGGGAGCA